rnacentral:rRNA from 1 species
GACAGAGGUGCCAAGCGUUAGGCGGAAUCACUGGGCUUAAAGCGUGUGUAGGCGGAUCGUUAAGUACCUUGUGAAAUCCCCGGGCUUAACCUGGGAACUGCAGUCGAGACUGUCUAGCUAGAGUAUGGGAGAGGGAAGUGGAAUUUCAGGUGUAGCGGUGAAAUGCGUAGAGUAUCUGAAGGAACAUCAGUGGCGAAAGCGACUUCCUGGACCAAUACUGACGCUCAUGUGCGAAAGCGUGGGGAGCAAACAGGG